rnacentral:misc_RNA from 1 species
GAUGCCUUGUAUGCUAUGGAGUUGGCCUUGGCUCUCGAAAAGCUUGUAAAUGAGAAGUUGCACAACCUGCACAGUGUGGCAUCAAGGUGCAAUGAUCCACAGCUGACCGACUUCGUUGAGAGCGAAUUCCUUGAGGAGCAGGUUGAAGCCAUCAAGAAGAUCUCUGAGUAUGUCGCCCAGCUGAGAAGAGUGGGAAAGGGGCAUGGGGUGUGGCACUUUGAUCAGAAGCUGCUUGAGGAAGAAGCUUGAAUGGAGGAGACGGUGUGAAGGGCAGUAGUAGGUUUCGUUUCUUCCAUCCAUGGGAUCAUGCAGCUAAAGAAAGAAAAUAAGUCGAGUCUGUGUAUUCAUCAAAUUAAGCACGCAGUAGCAAUGGAGUGAAUGAACCAACCAAUUUGGUCAUGAACUUCCCCCUGUGUCUAGGUCAGUAGAGCUUCAGAAUCAUGUGUAUGUCGCGCGUCCUCGCAGAAAAGGAACAUGGCGCCGCUGGCUGUAGCGAUACUUGUGAUAUUGUGGCUAUGCAUGGAGUCAUGGUGAUGGUGUAUUUUGGGGGCAUUUACACGUUUGUUGC